CCUACGGGUGGCACCAGUGGGGAAUAUUGCACAAUGGGCGCAAGCCUGAUGCAGCCAUGCCGCGUGUAUGAAGAAGGCCUUAGGGUUGUAAAGUACUUUCAGUUGGGAGGAAGGCGUUGAUGCUAAUAGCAUCAACGAUUGACGUUACCAACAGAAGAAGCACCGGCUAACUCCGUGCCAGCAGCCGCGGUAAUACGGAGGGUGCAAGCGUUAAUCGGAAUUACUGGGCGUAAAGCGCACGCAGGCGGUUGAUUAAGUUAGAUGUGAAGUCCCCGGGCUUAACCUGGGAAUGGCAUCUAAGACUGGUCAGCUAGAGUCUUGUAGAGGGGGGGUAGAAUUCAUGUGUAGCGGUGAAAUGCGUAGAGAUGUGGAGGAAUACCGGUGGCGAAGGCGGCCCCCUGGACAAAGACUGACGCUCAGGUGCGAAAGCGUGGGGAGCAAACAGGAUUAGAUACCCGUGUAGUC
rnacentral:rRNA from 1 species